rnacentral:rRNA from 1 species
UACGUAGGCAGCGAGCGUUGUUCGGAAUUAUUGGGCGUAAAGAGCUUGUAGGCGGUCUGUCGCGUCUGCUGUGAAAAUCCGGGGCUCAACCCCGGACUUGCAGUGGGUACGGGCAGACUAGAGUGUGGUAGGGGAGACUGGAAUUCCUGGUGUAGCGGUGAAAUGCGCAGAUAUCAGGAGGAACACCGAUGGCGAAGGCAGGUCUCUGGGCCACUACUGACGCUGAGAAGCGAAAGCGUGGGGAGCAAACAGG